rnacentral:rRNA from 1 species
GACGAACGCUGGCGGCGUGCUUAACACAUGCAAGUCGAACGGUGAAGCGCCUUCCUUUUUGGUGGGUGGGGAUGAGUGGCGAACGGGUGAGUAACACGUUAGUAACCUUCCCCCUUCUUCUGGAUAACCGCAUGAAAGUGUGGCUAAUACGGGAUAUUCUGGGUCGGUCGGAUGAUGGGUCUGGGACAGAUAUUGUGUCGGUGGGGGAUGGGCUCGCGGCCUAUCAGCUUGUUGGUGUGGUGAUGGCCUACCAAGGCGGUGACGGGUAGCCGGCCUGAGAGGGUGGCCGGUCACGCUGGGGCGGCGCCACCGCCCCGACUCCUACGGGAGGCAGCAGUGGAGAGUAGUGCACAGUGGGCGCAAGGGUGAUGCAGCGGCGCCGCGGGUGGGAUGGAGGCCGGCGGGUUGUGAACCUCUUUCGGCAGUGAAGCAGGCUGGCCUCGUGUGUGGGUGGGUUGACGGUAGCUGGAUAAGAAGCGCCGGCUAACUACGUG